ensembl:lncRNA
CCUUCCCCUGCCGUGUGCCCCCGCUCUGUCUCCAACACCCAGGCUGGAUGUAAACGCAAGGCCUUGGAGGAAGGGAAACCAACAGCAGUGCAGCUGCCUUCCAAUAAGAGAGUGAGGGGGCCGAGUGGAGACUGUGUGCCGGCUCCAGCAGCACACCCUGGGCCUGCUGCUGCUCGGAGCUCCAAGCAAAGAGGUGAGAAGGUGCUGUGGUACCCGCCGUGCUGAGGCGCUUCCCUGUGCGAGCACACUGAGUUUGCUUAGGGUUGGCUUUGCUUUUUCCUUAUCCUUGGAGGGGAAAAGAGUGGAAGGCUACAAAGUCCAAAGGCAGUGAGGUGCCAGAACGUGUAACCCUGUCUCUUCCCGUAAACUCUAUGGCAGUCUUCUGCACGCCUCCUGGAAAUGUCAUUCACUGGGAGGCUUCCUUGUCCCAUUUCC